ACCUGUGUGGCAUAGGGGUUUGAGUAUUGGACUAUGACUCUGGAGAUGAGGGUUCAAUUUCCUGCUCAGCAA
rnacentral:tRNA from 1 species